rnacentral:rRNA from 1 species
CCUACGGGUGGCAGCAGUGGGGGAUAUUGCACAAUGGGGGGAACCCUGAUGCAGCGACGCCGCGUGAGUGAAGAAGUAAUUCGUUAUGUAAAGCUCUAUCAGCAGGGAAGAAUAAAUGACGGUACCUGAGUACGAAGCCCCGGCUAACUACGUGCCAGCAGCCGCGGUAAUACGUAGGGGGCAAGCGGUAUCCGGAUUUAUUGGGUUAAAAGUGUGCGCAGGCGGGAUGUCAAGUCAGCGGUAAAAUUUCGGGGCACAACCCCGUCGUGCCGUUGAAACUGGCGUUCUUGAGUGAGCGAGAAGUAUGCGGAAUGCGUGGUGUAGCGGUGAAAUGCAUAGAUAUCACGCAGAACUCCGAUUGCGAAGGCAGCAUACUGGCGCUCAACUGACGCUCAUGCACGAAAGCGUGGGUAUCGAACAGGAUUAGAUACCCGUGUAGUC